ensembl:lncRNA
UUUUUUUUUGUCUUUUUUUUUUUUUUUCCUUUUUGUGGAGAACGGGGUCUCGCUGUAUUACCCAGGCAGGUCUCGAACUCCUGGGCUCAAGCUAUCCUCCCGUCUCUGCCUCCCUGAGAGCUGGGAUUACAGGCGUGAGCCACCACGCCCGGCGAAAUUCUUAAUUUUUAAACAAGAAGUCCUGCAUCUUCAUUUUGCACUGGGCCCCCCAAACUAUAUAGCCAGUCCUGGAAGAAAACAGUGACACAUUUAUUUGCAUGCUUACUAUGUGAGCAGCAAACAAAUGACAACUGGAACUGGGACCCAGGCCGUUUGGGUCCAAAACCAUGGGUCCUAACCUACAUCUUACCGUACUUCCUGUCUCUUGAAUCAAGAGGGCUGGUGAGAGUGGAGAGGAAGGGAAAGAAUAAGAACCUUCUGUUUCUCCCACCAGAACACUCUUCACGCCCCUGCCUCGCCUUCCUUCCUAUUGUCCUGUCAGUAUCAGUGUCAUUUCCUCAAAGAGGUGUUUCCUGGUCCCCAAACCUAAAUUAUGCCCCUCUCAUUCUCUCUUUUCUCCCUUAGUAUUUUAUUUAUUUGUGUAUUUAUUAUUUUUUUAGACAGAGUUUCACUUUUGUUGCCCAGGCUAGAGUGCAAUAGCAUGGUCUUGGCUCACUGCAACCUCCGCCUCCCAGGUUCAAGCGAUUCUCCUGCCUCAACCUCCUGAGUAGCUGGGAUUACAGGUGCCUGGAUAAUUUUUGUAUUCUAGUAGAGACGGAGUUUCACCACGUUGGCCAGGCUGGUCUCGAACUCCUGACUUCAGGUGAUCCACUCACUUUUGGGAGGCCGAUCUCCACUCAGGUGGAGGUUGCAGUGAGCUGAUUCGGCCUCCCAAAGUGCUGAAAUUACAGGUGUGAGCCACCGUGCCCGUCUCUUCUGUAAUAUUCUUUAGAGCAUCAGAACUUUGUGUACUUAUUUGUAUAUUUCCUUGUUUUAAUGACAAUCCCUCACUAAACUGUGUGCUCAAUGAGGGCAGAAAUUUUGUUGGGUUUUAUUCCCUUACCCCAGCAGAGAACUUGGCACAUAGUGGGUAUUUCAUAAAUGUUAGUUGGAAAGUACAGUUUAUAGAAUGUAAUGACAGAUCAGAUGAAAUUGUAGGGAAGCCUGGAGGAUGACCUAGGAAAUUCCACUUGGGUGAUGCUAAUUGCCAAGGUGAAUAUAGGAAGUUAGGAGUGGGACAGGAAUGAUUAUGUGGAUUUGAGAUGUGUCCAGUUCAAUGGCUUUUGGGGGUGGCUUGGAGAAGGCAAUAUUCUGCUGGGAAACUUCUGACUCUCUCCUUACUCCAGCCCAGGGUAGGGGCUCCCUACCUCCUCCUGGGCAGAUCUGUGCCAUCACUGGCGUGCUCUUGGGAGCUUAUCUGUUCCCUAGGCAGUGAAGCUCUACGGGAUCUGGAACAGUGCUGCAGGUCUCAUCUCUGGCUCGCAGGGCCCCCAGGAGUGUGUAUGCAGUCAGGGCUCAAUAAAUGCCAGUAGAAGGAAAGAGGGAAGGUGGAAAAUGUGGCCAGGCACUCAGGGGAGAGGCUGGGGUGAGGAGCAGAUCUGGGAACGGAAAUAGAACUGGAAGUCCAAGUUGGAACCCUGGAGCCCUAGAGACAGGGUGGACAGAAAAGUGCUCCAAGCCAGAAGGCCAGGCACAGGGCUAAGCGCUUUAUUCACAGGACUGCAUUUCCUCUUCAUAUCUACACUAAGGAGGCAUAAUCAUUCCUACUUUGUUUACGAGAAAACAGGUCCAGAG